UACGAAGGGUGCAAGCGUUAAUCGGAAUUACUGGGCGUAAAGCGUGCGCAGGCGGUUUUGUAAGACAGGCGUGAAAUCCCCGGGCUCAACCUGGGAAUUGCGCUUGUGACUGCAAAGCUGGAGUGCGGCAGAGGGGGAUGGAAUUCCGCGUGUAGCAGUGAAAUGCGUAGAUAUGCGGAGGAACACCGAUGGCGAAGGCAAUCCCCUGGGCCUGCACUGACGCUCAUGCACGAAAGCGUGGGGAGCAAACAGG
rnacentral:rRNA from 1 species